GUUCCGUCGCCUCGGACACCUCCCCUUCCCUCGGGGACCAGCGUGAAAGAUGAAAUGCCCUGCACCUGCCACAGCCCUCCUCUCCUCCCCUGCCCUGGGAGGAGGGACGGGGUGGGGGCAGAGCCCACCGAAAAAGCCAGGAUUGUGAAGGAAAUGAUCUUUCUGCAGGCCAAAGAUGGCUUUUCCACGUCUUGCCAACUGUUGCAGUUUCUCCAGAGGGCGUCGCUCGGAAAAACAUUAAAUCCUGCUACAGAAUCCAGCAGUUCCUCUCUCAAACUCCAUAUCGAGGUGGAAUUUCCUAUCUAUAGACUUUCUGUGGUACUGUGCGGUGCUACCUCUUGGCUUUGGGUCAAGGUACUACCCAGUCUCGGUGAUUGUUUUGUUGUUGAUGUUGACAAUGGUUCUUAUUUAAAAGUUCCCGGCCAGGUGCCCUAAAUUUCAGUGGGCUGGAAUCUGUUCAUUUUCAGCACCAAUCACAUGGGCCAAUACAAUAACUUAAGUAUUACCAGCUUCUCUCCCUCUUAGGAGUUACCCAAGUUUUACUUUGCUUUGGUCUAUAUCUUUCUCAGCUAACAAAUGUGGGGAGAAAUACAAUUCAUUUAUGUCUACUGCACUUGAAAAGUACAGUGGAGCUCUUCAAGUCACCAUAACGCAAAAUGCUGACAAAAGCCCCAUAAGAGGACUCUAUCUGGAACAGCCCCUCUCAGCCACUUUGGGCCAUGCUUUCCUCAUUUGUGAAAUGAAGAGGCUGAAUUACAAGCUCUUUAAGUCUCUUCCAGCUCUAAUUUUUAAAGAUUAUAUGACUUUUAUAAAGUAACAUGAUUUCUGUUAGAUGCCAAUUAAAUUUCUCUACCAUGGCAGUUACUAGUGUAGAAGCAGCUAUAGAGUAAACACAGCUUUUAACAUCUUCCUUAAUGUUGUUAAGCUGAGGGAUUAGCCAACAUGUAUAAGGCAGAAAACCCAAAGAAGAGUCUGAAGUUGAAUUUUCCACUUAGGGCAGCAUCUCUAACUUCCAAAUUUACUGCUAACAUUCUUGGUGAGACGAGAGAGACACUUCAGUUUGGUAGCAAGGUAUCUGGCCAGUACAAAGCUUUCUGUAUUUUCACAUUUGCAUGUGGACAAAGGCCAGCUAUCCAUAAACUUUCCAUUCUCUCCAGAAGAUCAAAUCCUUGUGCAUCCACUUUUUAUUUCCUACCUAUUUAUCCCAGUCACCUUGAGCUCCAGAUUUUCUAGAGAGAGGGAAGUGAUUAAAAGUCCUCCCUGCCUUCUCUCCUUAAUGGGAUCAGCAACGUGCACCAAGGAUGCUAACACUAUUAAGCGGUGAGAACCAAUCUAUACCCUAUGCAACAAGUUGUUUGUAUAACUCCUAAGGAGUCUAUGAGAUGAAAACAAGACAGAUGGUUCACGUAUAGAAAAUAGCAAGUAAAAUCAGUUUCCAGUGCCAUAUUCAUGAAGUCACCAGAAUGUUUAGGUUGGAUCACCAGAAAGCCAACAAGCAUAAACAUGAACGUUGACUUUUCAAGGGAUCAAACCCCUGUGGGCAAAUGAUAAAGCCAAAUAAAAAGCACCAAGCCUUUUGGACAGAAACUUCUACUCACCCUUCAGAAGCCUUGAGUCAAAUGUUUUCUCUCCCAAGAAGAUUUCUAUUUACUUGUAUCUCCAGGCAGAUUUAUAAAUUCAUUUUCUCACCUGUUUUUAUUUGUAUGUUAGCUCUUUGAAACAGGACCAUGUCUUUUCUUUUUCCCGGGUUAGGCCCAGCACAUUGUAAGUGCUCAAGAAAUAUUUAAUACUUUUUAAGCUAAUGUUUAUUGAGUAUUUACUAUGUGCCAGGCACUAUGUCAAACAUUUUGCAUGCAUGAUCUCAUUGGGUCCUCACGAAAAAUCUAGUAUCCUCACUGUGUGUGUGUCAGCAAAAUGAGACCCAGAGAAAUUAAAAUAUUGCCCAAAGUCAUUGCUGAUGGCAGAGUUGGGAUUUGAAUUCAGUACUUUCCACCUUCAAGGUCAAUUUGCUUAAUGACUAUACUGCUUUCAAAUUUGAUAAGCAAGGAGAGAGUAAUUCUUUUUUCACAAUGUAGUUUCUGAUUAAUAACCACUGUUCCUACUAUUUACUCACAAAUAUAAAUGUGUGGGUGGGGUUUAUGGGAUCUGGUGCUGCUAUUAACACCAUUUUAUAUAUACAUAACUUUAUAAUCUUUCAAAGCAGUUUCACAUAUAUUAUCUCACUUGGUUCUCAAAGUAUCCCAGUGAGUUAGGUGAAAAUAUUAUCAUUUUAUAGAUGAAGAAAUUUAAGUGCAGAACGGUAAACUGACUUGCCACCUUAUGAAGUGGCCAGUCGCAAGUAAGAACAUGGGGCUCCCGAUUCAUGUUCCAGGGUGAUUUUAACUACUUCAUGCUGUAGGGUUGGGAUUUAAGGAGUUUUUAAUUACGUUUCUUGUAUGAGUUUCAAGAGUAAAGUUUGGGUUACCAGAUGUUAGGAUAAGACUCAUUUACCAAAUCAGAGUCUCACCCCUUGAACAGGAAUUUAUAAAGCUCCAAGUUUUGGAGGGCUAUGAUGGGAUUUCUCAGUGGUUUCUUCUGCCACUGAGGUAUAUGAUCCUGCUUUUUGGUCCCCAUCUCUGUCAUUACUUUCGGCUCAAAUCUGGAAACCAAGAGGGGAUAGGAUGCAGAAGUGUCCCCAUGUCUGCUCCCCAGUUUUCCAGCCUUAAACCGAAAAUACUAUAUUUACUUUUAAAAUACACAAGUGAAUGUCAUUGAGAUAUGUGAUAUUUGGGCUGCUAUCCUUGAUCAAAGACAUUUUCUUAUUCAGAAAAAUGCACCUACAUUUUUUUUUUAGGAAAAACAAUUUAGUUUGAAAAAUGAUUGAGAAUCACACGUGAAACACCUUCAUAUUUAGCUCCAGAACUGUAGAGAACUUGGGUGUCUCCAUCCACUCACCUACUUAAAAAAAUCAGAGCAGAGAAAAUGAAACGAUUCUGAAAUAAAAAAGUUUUUGUUUAGAUAUGUACUUUAUUUCUGUAUUAGAGACAUCUGGAAGCAGAGACAGAGGACAAAGGAAGGCAAAAAGAGAAAUGCAGUGAUGAGAAGAGACAUGGAGAAAAAGCACAGGAAGAAUAUCCAUUGGAAAAGACUGUUUUGUACUGGCCAGAUACCUUGCUACCAAUGUACAGUUAUGGUGGGGGGAGGGGCAAGAUACACCCUUAGGCACAGGAAAAUGGACAUAGAGAUACAGACCCGGAGAUUGGAAUUCACAACAAGUGAACAAAAGAAAAAGGGCUGUAAGACAUAAAGAAAGAUAAAAUGAGGUGUACAAAGAAAAAGAAAGUGACAGCCUUCUAUGGAACAUCAUUCUCUUUAGGCUAGCAUCAACAAAAGCCAUAUUACAUUUGAAGAUACAUGGCACAAAUAAGGAUGCAACUUGUUCUUAGGACUUAGAAUGUGGUGAGGAGGAAAUUAAUGGCCUUUCUCUUUUUUGUCCUGCAUUUUGCAUUCCAUAAAACACUCUAUCAAUAUGGUCUUGCACUGAUAUCUGUAUAUGUGUUUCCUUGUAGACUGCAUACCUCUGAUGGGUAGAUAGGGCCUGUGGUCCAGGAGGCAGCCAUGGCAUACAGCACUGUGGUCUAGGAUUACAGGACCUGAGUUUCAGUCCUACUCUGCUAUACAUAAGUUGUGUGACAUAGGACAACUAUUUAACCUCCCUGUAAAAUGGGGAUUCCUCUACUUACCUUGCAGGGUGACCAUGAGGAUCAGAUGAGAUAGUUUCAAAAAAAUAUAUGAACUAUGUGCUGGGCACAGGCCAGGGACUACUUUUCUUUAUUUUGUAUCUCUACAGUAUAGUUACUUGCUGUUAAGCUUCUGAAUAAAUAGCCAUUGGAUUGAAGAUACCCUGGGCCUGGCCUUAGCCAGCUUUCAGACUGCAGCUUCCUCAAUUUUAUCCUGGACUGUUUGCAAAGGCAAACUGUAAGUCUAAGAACCACAGUCACACCCCAAGCACAUGGCUUCUACAAACAGUGACCACAGCUGCAUACCACAGGGAAGUCCACUCUUGUACACAAUGAUAACGACUCCUGUCAAUAAAAAACUAUAAUUUACACAAAGGACUGAUUAUAUAGUAUUUGCCUUUGUGUAUUGCUUUAUAUUUUUCAAAGCACUUUCAAAUACACACUUCGUUUCUAUAAAUGCAAAAAUUUGCUUGUUUGCCAUUGGUCACACCUAACUAAAAGUAGUGUGAGUUCUAAAUUCAAGUUUAAAAAAAUAUUCAAGGACAUCAAACCAUUAAAGAAAUUAUCUUUGAAAUAAGUUAGAACCAGCAAAUAACUGUGAACAAAUUCAGCUGCCUUCCUGAAUGAUCAGAUCAGUAAAUUUUAGUGUCUUCGUGUCUCAUAAGUAAUUCCAUAAAAGCUUUUCUUGGCUUAAUUCAGAAGAUUUUUUUUUUUUUUUGGUUUUCUGAUUAUACAAGUAAUAUGUUAAAAAGUAAAACAUGCCUAUUAUGUAAAUUAAUAAUCACAAUUAAUGCCAUCACUGAGAGAUAUUACUCUCUGAUAUUAGCAUUGGUACAAUUCUUCCCAGCCUUCUUUAUAUGCGUUUAUUAUAUAUUUGACAUUAUGCUUUAAAUUAAUUGAACAUUAAUAUUUCACUUAUAAGCAUUUUUAAUGUUAUUAAAAUUCUCAGAAACUUCAUUUUUAGUGUCAAGUAAUUUGAUAUUUGAAUUAUAGAUUAUCUUUCAAAGUCAGUUAUUACUGGUUUUAAAAGGAAUUCUUAACUGGGGGAAAGUAGAUUUGUUCUGGCAACUUUAACCUUAAAAAUAUUAAGAUUCUCAUCCUUAUUAGCACUCAGUUUCUGUCUUUAAAGUGGGCAUCAUAAUAUCUAUAGAAACCCAAGCUCCUCUUUCAGUAUCUAGUUCUUUCUUUUUACAGACUGAGCUCUAUUAACCUGUUUACUAAACUACAAUUAUGUAGGCGCCUGAUACUUGUGAAGAAAUGAGUGAAGGAAAGCUAUUCUUUGUGAAGCUAAGACUAGUCUUUUACCAGGCACAGCCACUUUCAACCCAAGAGUUAACGUCUCAACAAAAUUAUAGGUGAAAACCUAAAUGGCCAGAAACUAAAAACAAUGCAGAGAAAGCUUUUUAGUUACAAAGACUUAAAAGUAUUAUUUGGGAAGCAAUUAUAUAUAGCAACAAGAACCUCAGCCUCAAGUAUACGAGCACAUGCCUAUGUGGCAGCUGAGUGUCACCACUUGUCUGUGACUGACCUCACAAACUAUUAAUGGUCGGUCUAAAGACUGAAUGAACUGUUGAGUUAUGAGCCAGGCUGAAAUAGGUUUGCCUGCAAGCAGAGCAAAUUCUCAUGUUGCCAGGUAACAUGACGGAGCUGUCUAGUGUAAGUCUUAGAAGGAUUUAGGUUUUAAAUACUAUUAGUACAAGAGGAAGAAGGACAAGGAGCAUUUGCUACUCAAGAUUCUGCCACUUUCCUUCUGUUAUGUAUUAUAGAAGUCCAUUGUUUCUUUUUGAAGUAUCUGUGGCUUGAUUGGUUUGUCUUUAUAUGUCUUCUUCUGUUUAAAUUCUAAGUACCAUGUUCACUCAAUCUGCUGCUGUCUGACACUCUACUAUAGGGGUCCUAGCCGAUAUAACACCACAUACAUAAACACUCAAAAAAGAUUUUAACAUUGGAAAGGAAGAAAAAUAACUAUCAUUAUUUUCAAACAAUAUGGUAAUUUAUCAAGAAAAACUAAGAAAAUCAACUGAAAUACAGAACAAAGUAAUUGAGGUAGGUAGCUGGAUAGAAGAUCAAUGUACAAAAAUAAAUGGCUUUUCUAUAAGCUAGAAAUUAUCAAUUAGAAAAUUUAAUAGAAAAAAAGGACCAUUUACAAUGUUGCUUUUUUAAUUUAUAAAAUCACUAGUUUUAGACCUAACAGGAAAUAUGCAAGACAUAAAAGCCUAAAUGGAGAACAUGGCCCUAAAGGGAAGAUUCAAUACUGUAAACAUGUCAAUUUCCCCCAAAUUAAUCUAUAAAUUCAAUAUAAUUCCAAUCAGAACCCCAGCAUGUUUUUAAUGGACUCAAUAAGCUCUUUCUAAAAUUUAAGUGAAUUAGAGAUAAUAUGAAAAAGUAGCCAAGAAAUAUUUGAAUAAAGAACACUGGGGGGAGGAGAGGAAUUUACAAUACAUCAAAACAUCCUAUAAAUUGUUAUAAUUAAUAAAAGUAGAGAUAGACCACAAUUAUUGUAAUUGAAAAAGUGUAGAAGAAACAAACAGAUCAGUGGAACAGAACAGAAUCUUGAACCAGACCAACUAAAUUUAAUCUGUGGCAAGCAAGCACAUCAUACUUGUGAGGAAACGAAGGACUAUGUAAGAAAACCACAGAAACCAUUUACCUCCUUUUGGAAAAAAUAAAAUUAGCCGCAUAGUGCUCCCCGCAAAUUCAAGUCCACCCAGAACCUCAGAAUGUGACUUUUUUUUGGAAAUGAAGUCUCUUUGCAGAUAUAAUUAAGGACUGAGAUGAGACCAUACUGGUUUAGGGUUGGCCCUAAAUCCAAUGAGAGUAUCCUCGUGAGAGACAGAAAAGUACACAGAAACAGAGAAGGUGAUGUGAAGAUGGAGGGAGAUUGGAAUAAUGUGUUUACAAGCCAAGGAAGGCCAAGGACUGCUGGCAGCCACCAGAAGUAGGGGAGAGGUAUGGGAGAGCUUCACCUUCAGAGCCUACAAAGAGGAAUCAAACCUGCCAACAACUUGACUUCGGACUUCUGACCUUCAGAACUGUGAGAAAAUAAAUUUUGCUGUCAUAAUGCACCCACCUGUGGUAAUUUGUUAUGACAGCCAUAGGAACCUAAUACAAUAUCCUGCCACACACCAGACACAAACUGCAGAUAUAUCAGAGGUUAAACAUAAAAAGCAACACUAUAAAUGUAUCAGAAGAAAAUUUCGAAAAAUAUUUUUAUAAUUCAGAGGCUAGAGAAAGCUUUCCCAAACAAGGCAUAAAACCCAGAUGUCAUAUAGAAAAUGACAGAUUUGUGUACAUUAAAAACAAAAUAAAAACCAGUACAUCAAAAGGUACUAGUAACAAGUUAAAAGACAACAAUUUAGAAAAAAAAUAUUUGUACUAUAUAGCAGAGCAAGGGUUAAUAUCCAGAAUAGAGAUCCUACAAAUUAUGAAGAAACACAAAUGACCCAAAAGAAUUACUCAAAUGAUACAAACCAGAAAUACACAGAAGAAAUACAAAAGGCUAAAAAGAGCUUUAUAAGUUAAUAUUAAAAGACUGAUAAUAUCAGUGUACAUAAAGAUACAAAGAUACAGGUAUUUUUUUCAAUGCUGGUAGAAAUAUAAAUAUGUAUUACAAAUAGUAUUGUUUGUAAUAGCAAAAAAAUUACAAUUGAUCUAAAUAUCCAGUAAUAAUAAAAUAUUUUAUGGUAUGGUCAAACUAUGGAAUAUGAUAUAAACAUUAAAAGGAGAGACAGGUCAAAAUACAAAGAUCUCCAGAACAUCCUGUUAAAAGGAAAAGAACAGAUCACCAAAUAAUAAGUAUAGUGAGAUCUCUUAUGAUUUAAAAAACUAUAAAUAUGGUUGGUACAUAUACUGCAAUAUAAUCAUGCAAAGAAAGGAUUGGAAAGAAAAACACCAAACUGUUAACAGUGUUUCCUCUGAGAAGUGUAUAUAUACAUGUGAGUUUUGUGUGUAUAUAGGUUGAGGUGAAUUAAGAGUGACUUACAUUUUCCUGUGUCGUAUGAGUUUUUCCAAUAAAAACAAGUCAUUAUUACAUAAAUAUAAAAGAAAAGAAAAAUCAUAAUAAGCACCUAGAAAGUACUGGCUCUGUUAAACCCGCUUAGCUUUCUGUAGAACAUCGUUCAGUGUGUACAUGCGAGUAUUUUGAAAUAUAGUUAGAAAUUUGUUAAAAGCAUGAUGCCUUGAAAAAUAACAUAAAAGGUGAUAUUAUUAAAAACAUGAUAUACAUA